UUUGGGGAUUUAGGAGAGAAGUGGACAUGACCAAGACAGUAAUGUUUGGAAGUGCAACUUACGAAAGAGCAUAAAAGAAGCUCUUGGGGGUAGAUGAGUCUGAAUGCAAUUUCUUUCCCAAAUUUUUCUUCAGUAAAAUUAUAUCUUUAUUUUUUAUUAUGAUUUAUUUGUUUUUAGACAGGGAGUCUGCACUUCAAAGGCUAGUCUAGAACUUGCUCUGUAGCCCAGGUUGCCCCUGAACUUGUAACCUCAGCCUCUCCAGCACUACAGUUAUAGGCAUGAGCUACCAGUUGGCAGAGUGCUUAUCUUAAGAGGAUCUUAGCCACUCUUGGUUAGAGAGGAACAGACAGACAUCCCAGGGAGGGACAGAUGUCCCUGGGUGAAGGGCUUAGUUCAUCUAAGAAUCAAAAGCUGGUUACUUAUCUACUUCUCCUUAUGCAAACUGCCCUGACUGCAGGGAUAGGGGGGCCUUCCGUUUCAGAAGGCCAGCUUUUUAAGACUUAUAAAGUCCAUGUGAACUUUUAAAUAUAGCUAUCAUAAAAAGCAAAACCAUAAUUUCAUACCAUGGGUCAGGUAGUGGUGGUAGAGGCCUUGCUUGGCAUUCACGGAACUCUGGAUUAGAUCUUCAGCAUCACAUAAAAUCGGUUGUGUUGUUCAAUAUUAUUCUUUGAUACAUAGCAAGUUGGAGGCCAGCCUGGGAUACAUGAGAACCUGUCUCCAAGCAAACCAGCAGAAACACACACACACACACACACACACACACACACACACACACACACAGAUGCACGAAUGAAGACACAGACACUGAAAACAGUAACAAUAAAAAUUAUUUCAAAGAUAUGAGUUAUUUUUAUUUAUCUUUACUUACAACUUUUAACUUUGCCCAGCUUCCUUGUUAACACAAUAGCUGGUGGUACUCUUACCAUUAAAAGUUAAAAUACUAAUCUUUACAAAUCAUUUUGGAGAAGGUAGCUGAGUAUUAUAACAAUUGAUAAAAAGGAGGAGCUUUGUAUGGUACCCUAUCUGUAGUCCCUCCAAGCACUUAGGAAUAAGGUCAAGAUUGCUGCGGUAAAUCUCCAACCCAAACCCAAAUAUGCCUGGCAAUGAAAACACAACUCAGUUAAUAUGAAUACAUGCUGUGCGCCUAGACUGGGCAGAGCUACUGCUACACUACCAUCUUUCACAUCUUAUGAGACCUCUUCGAACUUUCUCCAGGCCAUGUGCUUCUGCUCCACUUUUCUUCUUCCUCCUCCUCCUCCUCUGUGUCCUCUCCCUCUUCCAUUUUCUCCUUCUUCUCCCUCUCCACCUUCUGCUCCACCUUCCCUUUAGUCUGCCCAAUCAUCAACUCUUCUUUAUUUUACAAAUUAAGGUGGGAAGCAGGUUUACCGGAAAUCACCUGAGUGCUGACUCUUUCCUUGCGAAGCUACUCACAGGAUAACGGAAUUAACAUCAAAUAUAAUUAGCCCCAGGGCUAUCCAUAACACAAGAGGAUCAAGAGUUCAAGUCCAGUUGAGACUGCAUUGCAAGUUCAAGGUCAGCCUAGGUUUCCCCAGUCGCUAUUGAGAAAAAAGAAAAGAAAAGAGAAGAGAAGAGAAGAGAAGAGAAGAGAAGAGAAGAGAAGAGAAGAGAAGGAAAGAAGGAAGGAAGGAAGGAAGGAAGGAAGACAGACAGACAGACAGAAAGAAAGAAAGAAAGAGAGAGAGAGAGAAAGGAAGAAAGAAAGAGAGAGAAAGAAAGAAAGAAAGGAAGGAAGAAAGAAAGAGGGGAGGGGAGAAAAUAUUCUCUUUGUCAUAGCUAGACACUAUAGCCACCAAUGAUUUAAAGAUUGAUUUUUGGGUGGGACUAACAGAUUCUUAGGAGAAAAUAGCCCCUCCAACGCUUGGCUAGAAGGCAAACUAAUGGAAAGAAAAUAUUUUUGUUUUAAAAUAUAUUGAUUUUCACUAUUGUAUGCAUUUGCAUGUUUCUGUUGAGACAGGAACAACUGCUAAUUCAUAUGAAAUCUCUGCCUCAUUCCUGACCGAGUCAGUAAAAAAUUGUGAGCUUUAGCAAAAUUACUUGAAUAAUGAAGUAGGUGUUGUAGAGAGGUAUUAUUUUUGGAGGCAGUACAUGUGCUAAAAAUUCCUAAUGAAAAUAGUGGAUGCACCGAGAAAAUAAAUCACUGGCCUGACAACCUUCGCCCAGCUCCCUAAUCGCUCAUGGCUCAUGGAUACUGGGAAGCACAUUCAUUUAAGCCAGGACUCACACAAACAUGUCUGCUAGCUGGUCUUGGGAACUUACCGUCUGGAGGGAAAACCUUAUCUCUUGUCAAAAUACAGGGCAGAGAGAACGGGCAAAGACAGGGCCUCCAGUUGCCAUUCAAGCCAGGCAGAGCCAGCUGGGCAGUUAGACUUUGUCUGCAACAAACUCUCACACUUGUGUUGCAACAAAGUCUCUGAAGAUUGAAAUACUCAUGAAUAAAGCUUACAGAUUUUGGUAACUGAGUCUCUGUCCAGUAGAUUGUCAUACCUGUAGACCAUUGAGUCACCAUAUAAAGUUAGGUCGAUAGUGGAGAAUGCAUUAUCAGGUGGUUUUAUGUUUUGGUGGAGGGAUUUUUUUUUUUUUUUUUUUUUACUCAAUCCUGUAUAAUCCUGAACACCUAAAAUACCUGGGAGAAUCUGCCAGUGGCAGUUUGUACACUCCUACCUACAGAGCUCCUCCAAGGUGGAUUCUCUUGCAUAUAUUGUAUUUCCUUUGUGGACAUUGUAUUAAUAUGACAGAGCUUCCUGAGCAAUUGCUGUUGGCUUUUUAUUAAAUAACAAGUUUGACUCUUUCUUUUUAAUAAAUAUAAAACUUUCCUGUACAAAUGCAUACUUACCAGAAGCAGAUCCCUACACAAUGUGGCUCUUCAAAAAAAAAAAAAAAAAAAGAGACACGGAGGGAAUAGAAGAAACAUAGCUUCUAGGUUCUGAGUCACCUCAUUUGACUUUGCAGAUGGAAGACAGUUUGUCUUUGUGUUGAAAAGUGAAGCUGACACCUGUAGGGAGUGCUGGGGUCACUACUUGCAUUGGGGGAAGAGAACUGAUGCAAUCAGCAUGCUAGAACAUUGUCCCCGACAUAGCAGGGUCACGGGGUAGCAGCGUGGCUGAGUGGAAGGCAGAUGGAGGAGACAAGGUCUAAUGGACAACUUUUGCUCACGAAGAAAGUUCAUCGUCCCUAAAGGAGAUACAAACCAUAACGCUGGGGGCUGGAGAGAUGGCUCAGUGAUUAAGAGCACUGAUUGCUCUUCCAGAGGUCCUGAGUUCAAUUCCCAGCAACCACAUGGUGGCUCACAACCAUCUAUAAUGAGAUACCCUCUUCUGGUGUGUCUGACUACAGUGACAUUGUAUUCAUAUAAAUAAAAUAAAUAAAUU
rnacentral:lncRNA from 1 species